rnacentral:rRNA from 1 species
UGGGGAAUUGUUCGCAAUGGGCGCAAGCCUGACGACGCAACGCCGCGUGGAGGAUGAAGGUCUUCGGAUUGUAAACUCCUGUUGCUCGGGAAGAACGGCUCCGACCUAACACGUCGGAGUUUGACGGUACCGGGUGAGGAAGCCCCGGCUAACUCUGUGCCAGCAGCCGCGGUAAUACAGAGGGGGCAAGCGUUGUUCGGAAUUACUGGGCGUAAAGGGCGCGUAGGCGGCCUGCUAAGUCGAACGUGAAAUCCCCGAGCUCAACUCGGGAACUGCGUCCGAUACUGGCAGGCUUGAAUCCGGGAGAGGGAUGCGGAAUUCCAGGUGUAGCGGUGAAAUGCGUAGAUAUCUGGAGGAACACCGGUGGCGAAGGCGGCAUCCUGGACCGGCAUUGACGCUGAGGCGCGAAAGCCAGGGGAGCAAACGGGAUUAGAUACCCCGGUAGUCCUGGCCCUAAACGAUGAAUGCUUGGUGUGGCGGGUAUCGAUCCCUGCCGUGCCGAAGCUAACGCAUUAAGCAUUCCGCCUGGGGAGUACGGUCGCAAGGCUG